UGGGGAAUAUUGCGCAAUGGGGGAAACCCUGACGCAGCGACGCCGCGUGAGUGAAGAAGUAUUUCGGUAUGUAAAGCUCUAUCAGCAGGGAAGAUAAUGACGGUACCUGACUAAGAAGCCCCGGCUAACUACGUGCCAGCAGCCGCGGUAAUACGUAGGGGGCAAGCGUUAUCCGGAUUUACUGGGUGUAAAGGGAGCGUAGGUGGUUCGGCAAGUCAGAAGUGAAAGCCCGGGGCUCAACCCCGGGACUGCUUUUGAAACUGUCGGACUUGAGUGCUGGAGAGGUAAGUGGAAUUCCUAGUGUAGCGGUGAAAUGCGUAGAUAUUAGGAGGAACACCAGUGGCGAAGGCGGCUUACUGGACAGUAACUGACACUGAGGCUCGAAAGCGUGGGGAGCAAACAGG
rnacentral:rRNA from 1 species